GCAAGUCGAACGCAGUAGCAAUACUGAGUGGCAAACGGGUGAGUAUAAUGUGGGAAUCUGCCUUUUGGUUCGGAAUAACACGAGGAAACUUGUGCUAAUACCGGAUAAGCCCUUACGGGGAAAGUUUUAAUGCCAAAAGAUGAGCCCGCACUUGAUUAGCUAGUUGGUAAGGUAAUGGCUUACCAAGGCAACGAUCAAUAGCUGUUCUUAGAGGAAGACCAGCCACAUUGGGACUGAGACACGGCCCAAACUCCUACGGGAGGCAGCAGUGGGGAAUCUUGCACAAUGGGGGAAACCCUGAUGCAGCGAUGCCGCGUGAGUGAAGAAGGCCCUUGGGUUGUAAAACUCUUUCGUCGGGGAAGAAAAUGACUGUACCCGAAUAAGAAGGUCCGGCUAACUUCGUGCCAGCAGCCGCGGUAAUACGAAGGGACCUAGCGUAGUUCGGAAUUACUGGGCUUAAAGAGUUCGUAGGUGGUUAAAAAAGUUGAUGGUGAAAUCCCAAGGCUCAACCUUGGAACUGCCAUCAAAACUUUUUAGCUAGAGUGUGAUAGAGGAAAGUGGAAUUUCUAGUGUAGAGGUGAAAUUCGUAGAUAUUAGAAAGAACAUCAAAAGCGAAGGCAACUUUCUGGAUCAUUACUGACACUGAGGAACGAAAGCAUGGGUAGCGAAGAGGAUUAGAUACCCUCGUAGUCCAUGCCGUAAACGAUGUGUGCUAGACGUUGGAAACUUAGUUUUCAGUGUCGCAGCGAAAGCAUUAAGCACACCGCCUGGGGAGUACGACCGCAAGGUUA
rnacentral:rRNA from 1 species